rnacentral:rRNA from 2 species
UUCCGUAGGUGAACCUGCGGAAGGAUCAUUACUGAGUGCGGGCUGCCUCCGGGCGCCCAACCUCCCACCCGUGAAUACCUAACACUGUUGCUUCGGCGGGGAACCCCCUCGGGGGCGAGCCGCCGGGGACUACUGAACUUCAUGCCUGAGAGUGAUGCAGUCUGAGUCUGAAUAUAAAAUCAGUCAAAACUUUCAACAAUGGAUCUCUUGGUUCCGGCAUCGAUGAAGAACGCAGCGAACUGCGAUAAGUAAUGUGAAUUGCAGAAUUCAGUGAAUCAUCGAGUCUUUGAACGCACAUUGCGCCCCCUGGCAUUCCGGGGGGCAUGCCUGUCCGAGCGUCAUUGCUGCCCAUCAAGCCCGGCUUGUGUGUUGGGUCGUCGUCCCCCCCGGGGGACGGGCCCGAAAGGCAGCGGCGGCACCGUGUCCGGUCCUCGAGCGUAUGGGGCUUUGUCACCCGCUCGACUAGGGCCGGCCGGGCGCCAGCCGACGUCUCCAACCAUUUUCUUCAGGUUGACCUCGGAUCAGGUAGGGAUACCCGCUGAACUUAAGCAUAUCAAUAAGCGGAGGAA